rnacentral:rRNA from 1 species
UGAGUACGAGACGCUAAGGCGUCGAAGUAGUGGAUGUCAUACUUCCAAGAAAAGCUUGCACUGUCAUAAGUAAAAAACGCCUGUACCAUAACCGACACAGGUGGGUAGGUAGAGUAUACUAAGGGGCGCGAGAUAACUCUCUCUAAGGAACUCGGCAAAAUGACUCCGUAACUUCGGGAGAAGGAGUGCCUUAUUCGUAAGGCUGCAAUAACAAGAUCCAAGCAACUGUUUAUCAAAAACACAGGUCUCCGCUAAGUCGUAAGACGAUGUAUGGGGGCUGACGCCUGCCCAGUGCCAGAAGGUUAAAGAAGUCGGUUAGCAUUAGCGAAGCUGGUAACUGAAGCCCUGGUGAACGGCGGCCGUAACAAUAACGGUCCUAAGGUAGCGAAAUUCCUUGUCGGGUAAGUUCCGACCCGCACGAAAGGCGUAAUGAUUUGGAUACUGUCUCGGAGAGGGGCUCGGUGAAAUAGACUUGUCUGUGAAGAUGCGGACUACCUGCACCAGGACAGAAAGACCCUAUGAAGCUUUACUGUAACUUGAAAUUGAAAUUGGACUUUAUUCGCGCAGUAUAGGUGGGAGGUGUUGAUUAUAAUCUUGCGGGAUUAUUGGAGCCAUCAGUGAGAUACCACUCUUGUAAUGUUAGAUUUCUAACUUUGAAUCAUUAUCUGGUCAAAGAACAGUUUCAGGCGGGCAGUUUGACUGGGGCGGUCGCCUCCUAAAUGGUAACGGAGGCGUACAAAGGUUUCCUCUGAACGGGUAGAAAUCGUAUCUGGAGUGUAAAGGCAUAAGGAAGCUUGACUGUGAGACCUACAAGUCGAGCAGGGACGAAAGUCGGUCUUAGUGAUCUGACGGUACUGAGUGGAAAGGCCGUCACUCAACGGAUAAAAGUUACUCUAGGAUAACAGGCUGAUCUCCCCCAAGAGUUCACAUCGACGGGGAGGUUUGGCACCUCGAUGUCGGCUCAUCGCAUCCUGGGGCGGUAGUACGUCCCAAGGGUUGGGCUGUUCGCCCAUGAAAGCGGUACGCGAGCUGGGUUCAGAACGUCGUGAGACAGUUCGGUCCAUAUCCGGUGUAGGCGUUAGAAUAUUGAGAGGAGCCUUCUUUAGUACGAGAGGACCGAGAAGGACAUACCUCUGGUGUACCAGUUAUCGUGCCAACGGUAAACGCUGGGUAGCUAUGUAUGGAGUGGAUAACCGCUGAAAGCAUCUAAGUGGGAAGCCCACCUCAAGAUAAGUAUUCUC